UCGAACGGGCUAGUGCUUCGCACUAGUCUCUUUCUGGGGUUGUUACUCUAAGGCUACCUGCUAAAGUUAUUGCUUAAAGCAGGGGUUUUAGGAGACUUUCCCCGAAAGGGGCCAGUGCGGAGCACUGGCCAGUGGCGAACGGGUGAGUAACACGUGGGUAAUCUACCCUCGAGUGGGGGAAUAAGCUUCCGAAAGGGGGUCGUAAUGCCGCAUAACGUUUCAUAACGAUGGUUAUGAAACCAAAGCCCAAAAGGCGCUCGAGGAGGAGCCUGCGUCCUAUCAGCUUGUUGGCAGGGUAAUGGCCUACCAAGGCUAUGACGGGUAGCCGGCCUGAGAGGGUGUCCGGCCACACUGGAACUGAGACACGGUCCAGACUCCUACGGGAGGCAGCAGUGGGGAAUUUUGCGCAAUGGGGGAAACCCUGACGCAGCGACGCCGCGUGGAGGAUGACGGCCUUCGGGUUGUAAACUCCUGUCAGAAGGGACGAAAUCCCGCAAGGGACUGACGGUACCUUCAGAGGAAGCCCCGGCUAACUACGUG
rnacentral:rRNA from 1 species